rnacentral:rRNA from 1 species
GACGAACGCUGGCGGCGUGCUUAACACAUGCAAGUCGAACGGAAAGGCCCUGCUUUUGUGGGGUGCUCGAGUGGCGAACGGGUGAGUAACACGUGAGUAACCUGCCCUUGACUUUGGGAUAACUUCAGGAAACUGGGGCUAAUACCGGAUAGGAGCUCCUGCUGCAUGGUGGGGGUUGGAAAGUUUCGGCGGUUGGGGAUGGACUCGCGGCUUAUCAGCUUGUUGGUGGGGUAGUGGCUUACCAAGGCGUUGACGGGUAGCCGGCCUGAGAGGGUGACCGGCCACAUUGGGACUGAGAUACGGCCCAGACGCCUACGGGAGGCAGCAGUGGGGAAUAUUGCACAAUGGGCGGAAGCCUGAUGCAGCAACGCCGCGUGCGGGAUAACGGCCUUCGGGUUGGAAACCGCUUUCGCCUGGGACGAAGCGUGAGUGACGGUAAUGGGUAAAGAAGCACCGGCUAACUACGUG